UACGUAGGGUGCAAGCGUUGUCCGGAAUUAUUGGGCGUAAAGAGCUCGUAGGCGGUUUGUCGCGUCUGCUGUGAAAUCCCAGGGCUUAACCCUGGGCCUGCAGUGGGUACGGGCAAACUAGAGUGCGGUAGGGGAGAUCGGAAUUCCUGGUGUAGCGGUGAAAUGCGCAGAUAUCAGGAAGAACACCCGUGGCGAAGGCGGUUCUCUGGGCCAUUACUGACGCUGAGGAGCGAAAGCGUGGGGAGCGAACAGG
rnacentral:rRNA from 1 species